CAGGUAACAUUAAAUCGUACCCCAAACCGACACAGGUGGUCAGGUAGAGAAUACCAAGGCGCUUGAGAGAACUCGGGUGAAGGAACUAGGCAAAAUGGUGCCGUAACUUCGGGAGAAGGCACGCUGGCAUGUAGGUGAAGUCCCUUGCGGAUGGAGCUGAAGCCAGUCGAAGAUACCAGCUGGCUGCAACUGUUUAAUAAAAACACAGCACUGUGCAAACACGAAAGUGGACGUAUACGGUGUGACGCCUGCCCGGUGCUGGAAGGUUAAUUGAUGGGGUCAGCCGCAAGGCGAAGCUCUUGAUCGAAGCCCCAGUAAACGGCGGCCGUAACUAUAACGGUCCUAAGGUAGCGAAAUUCCUUGUCGGGUAAGUUCCGACCUGCACGAAUGGCGUAAUGAUGGCCAGGCUGUCUCCACCCGAGACUCAGUGAAAUUGAACUCGCUGUGAAGAUGCAGUGUACCCGCGGCAAGACGGAAAGACCCCGUGAACCUUUACUAUAGCUUGACACUGAACAUUGAGCCUUGAUGUGUAGGAUAGGUGGGAGGCUUUGAAGCGUGGACGCCAGUCUGCGUGGAGCCAACCUUGAAAUACCACCCUUUAAUGUUUGAUGUUCUAACUCGGCCCCGUGAUCCGGGGUGAGGACAGUGUCUGGUGGGUAGUUUGACUGGGGCGGUCUCCUCCCAAAGAGUAACGGAGGAGCACGAAGGUUAGCUAAUCACGGUCGGACAUCGUGAGGUUAGUGCAAAGGCAUAAGCUAGCUUGACUGCGAGAGUGACGGCUCGAGCAGGUACGAAAGUAGGUCUUAGUGAUCCGGUGGUUCUGAAUGGAAGGGCCAUCGCUCAACGGAUAAAAGGUACUCCGGGGAUAACAGGCUGAUACCGCCCAAGAGUUCAUAUCGACGGCGGUGUUUGGCACCUCGAUGUCGGCUCAUCACAUCCUGGGGCUGAAGUAGGUCCCAAGGGUAUGGCUGUUCGCCAUUUAAAGUGGUACGCGAGCUGGGUUUAGAACGUCGUGAGACAGUUCGGUCCCUAUCUGCCGUGGGCGUUGGAAGAUUGAGAGGGGUUGCUCCUAGUACGAGAGGACCGGAGUGAACGCACCACUGGUGUUCGGGUUGUCAUGCCAAUGGCAUUGCCCGGUAGCUAAGUGCGGAAAAGAUAAGCGCUGAAAGCAUCUAAGCGCGAAACUUGCCUCAAGAUGAGUCUUCCCUGGGCCUUUAAGGCCCCUGAAGGAACGUUUAAGACUAAGACGUUGAUAGGCUGGGUGUGUAAGUGCAGCGAUGCAUUGAGCUAACCAGUACUAAUGAUCCGUGAGGCUUAACCUUACAACACCGAAGGUGUUU
rnacentral:rRNA from 1 species